rnacentral:rRNA from 1 species
GAUGAACGCUGGCGGCGUGCCUAAUACAUGCAAGUCGAGCGAACGGACGAGAAGCUUGCUUUUCUGAUGUUAGCGGCGGACGGGUGAGUAACACGUGGAUAACCUACCUAUAAGACUGGGAUAACUUCGGGAAACCGGAGCUAAUACCGGAUAAUAUUUUGAACCGCAUGGUUCAAAAGUGAAAGACGGUCUUGCUGUCACUUAUAGAUGGAUCCGCGCUGCAUUAGCUAGUUGGUAAGGUAACGGCUUACCAAGGCAACGAUGCAUAGCCGACCUGAGAGGGUGAUAGGCCACACUGGAACUGAGACACGGUCCAGACUCCUACGGGAGGCAGCAGUAGGGAAUCGUCCGCAAUGGGCGAAAGCCUGACGGAGCAACGCCGCGUGAGUGAUGAAGGUCUUCGGAUCGUAAAACUCUGUUAUUAGGGAAGAACAUAUGUGUAAGUAACUGUGCACAUCUUGACGGUACCUAAUCAGAAAGCCACGGCUAACUACGUG